rnacentral:tRNA from 1 species
UGCGGAUUAGCUCAAUGGUAGAGCAACCGACUUUGACUCGGUUUACGUAGGUUCGAUUCCUGCAUCCGCUGCCA